rnacentral:ncRNA from 1 species
AAAUUUCGUGCCAGCCACCGCGGUCAUACGAAAGACCCAAGUUAAUAUUCUACCGGCGUAAAGAGUGCUUAAAUAUUUAUCAAAUAGAGCUAAGACUAGUCUUCGCUGUAAAAAGCCAAAGCCAAAGUAAAAAUCAAUAACGAAAGUAACUCUAAUUUUUGUAGCACUAAAGCUAUUACCUAAACUGGGAUUAGAUACCCCACUAUAAUUAGCCAUAAACAUAAGUAGUUCAUAACAUUACUACUCGCCAGAGAACUACAAGCCACCGCUUAAAACUCAAAGGACUUGGCGGUGCUUUAUAUCCACCUAGAGGAGCCUGUUCCAUAACCGAUGAUCCCCGAUUUACCUCACCACUCCUUGCUAAUUCAGCCUAUAUACCGCCAUCUUCAGUUAACCCUAAAAAGGAAAUAAAGUAAGCCUAAUCAGUAUUACUAAAGAAGUUAGGUCAAGGUGUAGCCCAUGGAGUGGAGCGAAAUGGGCUACAUUUUCUAUUACUAGAACAUUACGAAACUCUACGUGAAAUCCGUAGAAUAAAGGAGGAUUUAGUAGUAAAUUAAAACUAGAGUGUUUAAUUGAAUAGAGCAAUGAAGCACGCACACACCGCCCGUCACCCUCCUCAAUUUCUCAACAAUUAAAAGUACAUAACACCUAAUUACAAAAGAUUGAGAGGAGACAAGUCGUAACAAGGUAAGUGUACUGGAAAGUGCACUUGGAAAAAUCAAAAU